rnacentral:rRNA from 1 species
CUACAGAGGGUGCGAGCGUUAAUCGGAAUUACUGGGCGUAAAGGGCGCGUAGGUUGAAAUGCAAGUUAGAUGUGAAAUUUCUGGGCUUAACCGAGAAGGGCCAUCUAAGACUGCAUAACUAGAGUGCAGGAGAGGGAAGUGGAAUUUCCGGUGUAGCGGUGAAAUGCGUAGAUAUCGGAAGGAACACCAGUGGCGAAGGCGACUUUCUGGUCUGCAACUGACACUGAGGCGCGAAAGCGUGGUUAGCGAACAGGAUUAGAUACCCUGGUAGUCCACGCUGUAAACGAUGAGUACUAGCUGUUUGUUUAUAUUUUAUAGAUGAGUAGCGCAGCAAACGCGAUAAGUACUCCGCCUGGGGAGUACGGCCGCAAGGCUAAAACUCAAAGGAAUUGACGGGGCCCGCACAAGCGGUGGAGCAUGUGGUUUAAUUCGAUGCAACGCGAAGAACCUUACCUACCCUUGACGCAUAUGGGAUUUGGCAGAGAUGCCAGAGUGCCUUC